rnacentral:sRNA from 1 species
AGCGGGAACAAUAUUCUGUAGCA